AGGACGAACGCUGGCGGCGUGCCUAACACAUGCAAGUCGAACGAGGUCCAACCGGUGGCAACACUGGUGAAGACCUAGUGGCGAACGGGUGAGUAUCACGUGAGUAACCUGCCCCGAAGACUGGGAUAACACCGGGAAACCGGUGCUAAUACCGGAUGUCCCCACCGAAUCGCAUGGUUUGGUGAGGAAAUGGAUUCCGCUUUGGGAGGGACUCGCGGCCUAUCAGCUUGUUGGUGGUGUAACGGACCACCAAGGCUUCGACGGGUAGCUGGUCUGAGAGGACGAUCAGCCACACUGGGACUGAGACACGGCCCAGACUCCUACGGGAGGCAGCAGUAGGGAAUCUUGCGCAAUGGGCGAAAGCCUGACGCAGCAACGCCGCGUGGGGGAUGAAGGCCUUCGGGUUGUAACUCCUUUUAGUGGGAACGAAUUGACGGUACCACAGAAAACGCCCGGACUAACUACGUGCCAGCAGCCGC
rnacentral:rRNA from 1 species